CACAGCGAUCCCUCUUGCUGUUCUGGCUUCUGAGAUUCAGAAUAUUUUUUUCUUGUUUUCCUCCUCCAAAAACUAGGUGCGUCUUGUGGUCUGGUGUGUCUUAUAGAGCGAAAAAUACGGUAUUCUGAAUCUCAGAAGCCAGAACAGCAAGAGGGAUCGCUGUG
rnacentral:miRNA from 1 species